UACGUAGGGUGCGAGCGUUGUCCGGAAUUAUUGGGGCGUAAAGAGCUUGUAGGCGGUUUGUCGCGUCUGCUGUGAAAACCCGGGGCUCAACCCGGGCUGCGGUCGAUACGGGCAGGCUCGAGUUCGGUAGGGGAGACUGGAAUUCCUGGUGUAGCGGUGAAAUGCGCAGAUAUCAGGAGGAACACCGGUGGCGAAGGCGGGUCUCUGGGCCGAUACUGACGCUGAGGAGCGAAAGCGUGGGGAGCGAACAGG
rnacentral:rRNA from 1 species